rnacentral:rRNA from 1 species
GAUGAACGCUGGCGGCGUGCCUAAUACAUGCAAGUCGAGCGAACAGACGAGGAGCUUGCUCCUCUGACGUUAGCGGCGGACGGGUGAGUAACACGUGGAUAACCUACCUAUAAGACUGGGAUAACGUCGGGAAACCGGAGCUAAUACCGGAUAAUAUAUUGAACCGCAUGGUUCAAUAGUGAAAGACGGUUUUGCUGUCACUUAUAGAUGGAUCCGCGCCCCAUUAGCUAGUUGGUAAGGUAACGGCUUACCAAGGCGACGAUGCGUAGCCGCCCUGAGAGGGUUAUCCGCCACACUGGAACUGACACACGGUCCAGACUCCCACGGCAGGCAGCAGUAGGGAAUCUUCCGCAAUGGGCGGAAGCCUGACGGAGCCACGCCGCGUGAGUGAUGAAGGUCUUCGGAUCGUAAAACUCUGUUAUUAGGGAAGAACAAAUGUGUAAGUAACUAUGCACGUCUUGACGGUACCUAAUCAGAAAGCCACGGCUAACUACGUG